GCGCGAAAGCAUGGGAGCAAACAGGAUUAGAUACCCUGGUAGUCCAUGCCGUAAACGAUGAGUGCUAAGUGUUAGGGGGUUUCCGCCCCUUAGUGUUGCAGCUAACGCAUUAAGCACUCCGCCUGGGGAGUACGACCGCAAGGUUGAAACUCAAAGGAAUUGACGGGGGCCCGCACAAGCGGUGGAGCAUGUGGUUUAAUUCGAAGCAACGCGAAGAACCUUACCAGGUCUUGACAUCCCGAUGACCGCUCUAGAGAUAGAGUUUUCCCUUCGGGGACAUUGGUGACAGGUGGUGCAUGGUUGUCGUCAGCUCGUGUCGUGAGAUGUUGGGUUAAGUCCCGCAACGAGCGCAACCCUUAAUCUUAGUUGCCAUCAUUUAGUUGGGCACUCUAAGGUGACUGCCGGUGAUAAACCGGAGGAAGGUGGGGAUGACGUCAAAUCAUCAUGCCCCUUAUGACCUGGGCUACACACGUGCUACAAUGGACGGUACAAAGAGUCGCUAACUCGCGAGAGUAUGCUAAUCUCAUAAAACCGUUCUCAGUUCGGAUUGUAGGCUGCAACUCGCCUACAUGAAGCCGGAAUCGCUAGUAAUCGCGGAUCAGCAUGCCGCGGUGAAUACGUUCUCGGGCCUUGUACACACCGCCCGUCACACCACGAGAGUUUGUAACACCCGAAGUCGGUGAGGUAACCUUUGGGAGCCAGCCGCCGAAGGUGGGAUAGAUGAUUGGGGUGAAGUUGUAACAAGGUCAAC
rnacentral:rRNA from 1 species